rnacentral:rRNA from 1 species
GAGUGGCGCACGGGUGAGUAACGCGUGGGAAUAUACCUAGAAGUAUGGAAUAACCACUGGAAACGGUGGAUAAUACCAUAUAUACCCUCAGGGGGAAAGAUUUAUCGCUUCUAGAUUAGCCCGCGUGACAUUAGCUUGUUGGUGAGGUAAAGGCUCACCAAGGCGACGAUGUCUAGCUGGUCUGAGAGGAUGGCCAGCCACACUGGAACUGAGACACGGUCCAGACUCC